CUACGGGCGGCAGCAGUAGGGAAUAUUGGACAAUGGGCGAAAGCCUGAUCCAGCAACACCGCGUGCACGAUGACGGCCUUCGGGUUGUAAAGUGCUUUUAGAGGAGAUGAGAAAGGACAGUAUCCUCUGAAUAAGCCUCGGCGAACUACGUGCCAGCAGCCGCGGUAAAACGUAGGAGGCAAGCGUUAUCCGGAUUUAUUUGGCGUAAAGCGCGUGCAGGCGGUCUAGCAAGUUGGAUGUGAAAGCUCCCGGCUCAACUGGGAGAGGUCGUUCAAUACUGUUAGACUAGAGAAUAGGAGAGGGAGGUGGAAUUCCGGGUGUAGUGGUGAAAUGCGUAGAUAUCCGGAGGAACACCAGUGGCGAAAGCGGCCUCCUGGACUAUUUCUGACGCUAAGACGCGAAAGCUAAGGUAGCAAACGGGAUUAGAUACCCGAGUAGUC
rnacentral:rRNA from 1 species